rnacentral:rRNA from 1 species
GAUGAACGCUGGCGGCGUGCCUAAUACAUGCAAGUCGAGCGAACAGAUAAGGAGCUUGCUCCUUUGACGUUAGCGGCGGACGGGUGAGUUACACGUGGAUAACCUACCUAUAAGACUGGGAUAACUUCGGGAAACCGGAGCUAAUACCGGAUAACAUAUUGAACCGCAUGGUUCAAUAGUGAAAGGCGGCUUUGCUGUCACUUAUAGAUGGAUCCGCGCCGUAUUAGCUAGUUGGUAAGGUAACGGCUUACCAAGGCAACGAUACGUAGCCGACCUGAGAGGGUGAUCGGCCACACUGGAACUGAAACACGGUCCAGACUCCUACGGGAGGCAGCAGUAGGGAAUCUUCCGCAAAGGGCGAAAGCCUGACGGAGCAACGCCGCGUGAGUGAUGAAGGUCUUCGGAUCGUAAAACUCUGUUAUCAGGGAAGAACAAAUGUGUAAGUAACUGUGCACAUCUUGACGGUACCUGAUCAGAAAGCCACGGCUAACUACGUG